rnacentral:lncRNA from 1 species
CUUGGCUUCAAUCAAGACAAAGCAGGAAGUCAAAGCUACUUUUCUCCUGGAGCUGUGGUUCUCCAAUUUCAGGGAGUAUCAGAACCCCCUGAAAGGCUUGUUAAACAGUUUGUUGGGCCCCUCCUACAGAAUUUCUGAUUAACCCUGAAGACAUUCAGAAAUCCUGAGUAAGAAGCUGAUGGACUGGGACUCAGUUGGAGUUCUUCCAAAUUGAGAUGCCAGAGGGAGCAGUGGCUGGGGUCACUGGGCACUGGCUGGCAUGAAAAGCCCAUAAUUAACUUGUUUUGUUUCAUACCUCAUGGGGAGGAAAUGCUGUCUAUUUUAAUUUCAUGAGCCCGCAACAUUGUAAGAUUUCAAAAAGGAAAAGAAAUCUUUUAUUUUGGGGCCUCAAAGGUCUAGGUCACUAACUUAAUGGGGUAUUAUGAGAUUCUAUUAUAGCAAAUGACUAAGUCAACUAUUGUCACAAUGCUACUGCAUAAUAAACCCUUCCAAAAUUUGGUGACUUAUAGGAAUGAAUAUUUAUUCUUGCUCAGGUGUCUGUGGGUUGCCUGACCAAGGCUAUGUUCUUUUGGCCUUGGCUCCAAGCUGCUUUCUUUUUGAACCAGCAGCUACUUGGAAGUUUAUAUGUCACAGCAAUGGCAAAAAUCCAG